GCCCUUAGAGUUUGAUCCUGGCUCAGGACGAACGCUGGCGGCGUGCCUAAUACAUGCAAGUCGAGCGGGUCGCCCCGGGGCUUGCCCCGGGGAGGCCAGCGGCGGACGGGUGAGUAACGCGUGGGCAACCUGUCCGGCAGACCGGGACAACGCCUGGAAACGGGCGCUAAUUCCGGAUAGGCGCAAAGGGCGCAUGCUUUUUGCGGGAAAGGGGAAACCCGCUGUCGGGUGGGCCCGCGUCGCAUUAGCUGGUUGGUGGGGUAACGGCCCACCAAGGCGACGAUGCGUAGCCGGCCUGAGAGGGUGGGCGGCCACACUGGGACUGAGACACGGCCCAGACUCCUACGGGAGGCAGCAGUAGGGAAUCUUCCGCAAUGGGCGAAAGCCUGACGGAGCGACGCCGCGUGAGGGAAGAAGGCCUUCGGGUUGUAAACCUCUGGCUUUGGGGACGAGGGCACCGAGGGGACUCGGUGAGGGACGGUACCCAAGGAGGAAGCCCCGGCAAACUACGUGCCAGCAGCCGCGGUAAGACGUAGGGGGCGAGCGUUGUCCGGAAUCACUGGGCGUAAAGGGCGCGCAGGCGGCGAUGCACGUCCGAGGUGAAAGGCAGCGGCUCAACCGCUGAGGGGCCUCGGAUACGGCAUGGCUUGAGGGUCGGAGAGGCAAGGGGAAUUCCUGGUGUAGCGGUGAAAUGCGUAGAGAUCAGGAGGAAUACCGGUGGCGAAGGCGCCUUGCUGGACGACACCUGACGCUGAGGCGCGAAAGCGUGGGGAGCG
rnacentral:rRNA from 1 species